AACGAACGCUGGCGGCAGGCUUAACACAUGCAAGUCGAACGCCCCGCAAGGGGAGUGGCAGACGGGUGAGUAACGCGUGGGAAUCUACCUAGUUCUACGGAACAACAGUUGGAAACGACUGCUAAUACCGUAUACGCCCUAUGGGGGAAAGAUUUAUCGGAAUUAGAUGAGCCCGCGUAAGAUUAGCUAGUUGGUGGGGUAAUGGCCUACCAAGGCGACGAUCUUUAGCUGGUCUGAGAGGAUGAUCAGCCACACUGGGACUGAGACACGGCCCAGACUCCUACGGGAGGCAGCAGUGGGGAAUAUUGGACAAUGGGCGCAAGCCUGAUCCAGCCAUGCCGCGUGAGUGAUGAAGGCCUUAGGGUUGUAAAGCUCUUUCACCGAUGAAGAUAAUGACGGUAGUCGGAGAAGAAGCCCCGGCUAACUUCGUGCCAGCAGCCGCCGCCGUAA
rnacentral:rRNA from 1 species